rnacentral:rRNA from 1 species
UGCCGGCGACCGGCGCACGGGUGAGUAACACGUAUGCGACCUGCCCCCGCAGGGGAUAACCGGGAGAAAUCCCGACUAAUACCGCGUAACGCCGCGGACCUGCAUGGGUCUGCGGCCAAAGGAAGCGAUUCCGGCGGGGGAUGGGCAUGCGGCGCAUUAGCUAGUCGGCGGGGUAACGGCCCACCGAGGCGACGAUGCGUAGGGGUUCUGAGAGGAAGGUCCCCCACCACUGGUACUGAGACACGGACCAGACUCCUACGGAAGGCAGCAG